GGUCAGCACAUCCCCAGCACUCUUGUGUGUCUGUGCAUCCCGGAGGAACAUCAGGGGUGGUGAUGGUGACCAAAACAUCUGUCAAGAAAAAUCAUGUGCCUUUGCUUAUCUCUGCAAUGCAGAAUAUCUAGUAAGUUUCCGAGGAAUCUGUGGAUGUCAGUUCCCUGGAGCAUAGCUGGCAGUCUGUCAUGGUAUCGAGCUAGUGCUUCCCGGUGGCAACCCAUUACUGCUGAGUCAUUCCCACAGAAACAGAGUGUUUCAAGGAAAUUAAUUUUCUAUAUCCUUGGUGUACAUCGAGAAAAUAGAAAGUUGAAAAACUCCAAGGGAUUUCCCCAAAAGCCUCCAAAUAAAUUUUAAAAUUAAACAGAUGUUACAUGAUCACCAUUAAAACAAAGGCUCUUGUUCAGUUCCUUCCAGAAGACAUUAGGAAACAAGAUGACAUUUUGGAUCCAUGUCUGGUUCUUUAAAUCAGCUGACCUGAAAUGCAUUUCCUUCAGAUGGUUACAGGAUGCAGUUCCUGGUCAGAACACUGAGACACAAUAAAUGAUCGGGGACUUUAACUGACUUUAAUAAAGAUGCUGGAAUGUUAA